UACAGAGGUCUCAAGCGUUGUUCGGAUUCAUUGGGCGUAAAGGGUGCGUAGGCGGCGCGGUAAGUCGGGUGUGAAAUCUUGGAGCUUAACUCCGAAACUGCAUUCGAUACUGCCGUGCUUGAGGACUGGAGAGGAGACUGGAAUUUACGGUGUAGCGGUGAAAUGCGUAGAUAUCGGAAGGAACAUCAGUGGCGAAAGCGGCUUCCUGGACCAGUACCGACGUUCAGGCACGAAAGCGUGGGGAGCAAACAGG
rnacentral:rRNA from 1 species